rnacentral:rRNA from 1 species
GAUGAACGCUGGCGGCGUGCCUAAUACAUGCAAGUCGAGCGAACAGACGAGGAGCUUGCUCCUCUGACGUUAGCGGCGGACGGGUGAGUAACACGUGGAUAACCUACCUAUAAGACUGGGAUAACUUCGGGAAACCGGAGCUAAUACCGGAUAAUAUAUUGAACCGCAUGGUUCAAUAGUGAAAGACGGUUUUGCUGUCACUUAUAGAUGGAUCCGCGCCGCAUUAGCUAGUUGGUAAGGUAACGGCUUACCAAGGCGACGAUGCGUAGCCGACCUGAGAGGGUGAUCGGCCACACUGGAUCUGAGACACGGUCCAGACUCCUACGGGAGGCCGCAGUAGGGAAUCUUCCGCAAUGGGCGAAAGCCUGACGGAGCAACGCCGCGUGAGUGAUGAAGGUCUUCGGAUCGUAAAGCUCUGUUAUUAGGGAAGAACAAAUGUGUAAGUAACUAUGAACGUCUUGACGGUACCUAGUCAGAAAGCCACGGCUAACUACGUG